CAAUAGCGUAUAUUAAAGUUGUUGCAGUUAAAAAGCUCGUAGUUGAAUUUCUGGGCGGCCCGCCGGUCUUCCAUGUGUUGUACUGGGCGGCGCCGGCCAUCCUUGUGGAGAGGGCUCGCAUUUGGUUGCGUGUCGGAUCUGCAUCAUUUACUGUGAAAAAAUUAGAGUGUUUAAAGCAGGCUGUCGCUUGAAUACAUUAGCAUGGAAUAAUAAGAUAGGACUUCGGUCUAUUUUGUCGGUUGCGAACCGAGGUAAUGAUUAAUAGGGAUAGUUGGGGGUAUUCAUAUUUAAUUGUCAGAGGUGAAAUUCUUGGAUUUAUGAAAGAUGAACAACUGCGAAAGCAUUUACCAAGGAUGUUUUCAUUAA
rnacentral:rRNA from 1 species